AUUCCAGCUCCAAUAGCGUAUAUUAAUGUUGUUGCAGUUAAAAAGUUCGUAGUUGGAUUUCUGGUCGGGACGUCUGGCCGGCUCCGCAAGGGUUCGUUGCAUUGACUGUACUCGUCCAUCCUCAGGUUGACUAGCUCUGGUAUUUAUUUAUCGGUGUUAGAACGCCUGUCGUUUACUGUGAACAAAUUAGAGUGUUCAAAGCAAGGUGUACUUGAAUACAUUAGCAUGGAAUAAUAAGAUAGGACUUUGGUGGUUCUUUUUGAUAUUUUGUUGGUUUGCACGCCAAAGUAAUGAUUAAUAGGAGCAGUUGGGGGUAUUCGUAUUCAAUUGUCAGAGGUGAAAUUCUUGGAUUUAUAGAAGACGAACUACUGCGAAAGCAUUUACCAAGGAUGUUUUCAUUG
rnacentral:rRNA from 1 species